rnacentral:ncRNA from 1 species
UUAAAAGCGAUGACGGAAAGAGUAAUUGUGCAGAUUCAAAAAGAGAGCUAAUGGUUGGUGCAAAUUAGCGAUGAAGCAUGGUGAAGUUCAUUCCUAAGUUUCAGGUUGAAAUUAAGUAGACCAUGGCGUAAGACCUACGUUACAGGUAAAAGUGGAUUAUUUAUGUAAUCAAUCAGGGUGGUACCGCGAGAAAGAACUCGUCCCUUUU